CGUGCUCCGUGUCGUUUACCUGGAUUGUCUCUCAACGAGUAAACUGGACACAGAGCCCCCCUCGGCCGAUUCUGGGAACGUGCCUGUGAUGCAGCAUUCUCUCGAGUCUUCAAGCUGCGCAAGUCGAUCAUCUCUUGCAGAGUACAAGGUCGAUCUCAUUCUCUCUGAGGUAAUCGUAGACGUUCUUCUAUAUCUGGCCCUAUAAGAUAUACCACACAAGUCUUUAUUGUCAGUCUCUAUUUUGUCAUCCAGGUAAAUAGAGUGCGAGAAGUCAUCUAUUUAUAUCGGCUAAUUUAGGGAAGAAGCUAUUGUACUACAUUUUAUUGAAACUGUUGAAUAAUGUAUGAAACUUUUGAGAUAAAUAUAAAUAUUUGAAAUAAUAUCAUUAUAAAAUAAUAUGAAUAAAGAUGAAACUGAGGGCUCUAAAAUCUA